rnacentral:lncRNA from 1 species
GCGGUCGCUCGUCCUCCUGAGGGGAGCGCCGUCGUUGUUAUAAUGCCAGACUUAGAAAAAGUCAAUUAAACGUUUCUGUAAUACAACUCUUCCCCCUGGGGGCUGACGUGUGUGUCAGAGAGGGCUGCAGUCUCAGGAAGGCGCUCAGUGAAGGCGAUGCCCCCAAGCUGUCAGCCCUGCUUCCUCAGUCCUUGGCGUUAGGCGCAGCUGAGGGGCAGAGUUGGAAGCGGGGCGCGGGGUGCGGCGGGUGAUGUGGCAGACCCUGUGGAGGCGCGGAAAUUCAAGCGGUCAGCUCUGCCUUUUUUACCAUUCAACACACACUUCUGAGCUGAAUAACCCCAAGUAUGGUGCCUCUAAGAAAGUGAAGUGCAGCGGUAUCUCAGAAGCAUCCGGAG